rnacentral:misc_RNA from 1 species
AUGCUAUUGGUCGGUAUAUUGGUAAUAAAGUCGUUGAUUGUGCAUAAGUUUUUGGGGACGUAUCGACGUUUACCGGUCCUCGAUUGUUUGUUGUCUCUUCUUAUAUUGGUGACAAGUAAUUAUUUAUUGAUAAAGAAUGUAUAUAUACGCAUAAAAGUAAAAUAGGCUAAUAAUAUCGCAAGGCAGUAAGUAAAGAUAUUUAAAGUGACUUUAUGAUUAUUAUGAUCGGUUUUUCAAGUUCGAUGAUAAGUAUGUCAAAGUCGAUGUGAUGUGUUACUGUGCGACCUUUCAGGACGACGGCCUCCUAAGUGUUAUAUAGAUUUGGAUACGUUCUAUGCACAGAUGAACUAAAGGAAUAAUAAGAAGAAAGAAGAGGUUGAUUGACAGAAGAGAUCCUUAAAGGGUUCAAGAAGAUAAUUUGAUAGAAGAAAAACAUAAAAAUAACAAAAGAUGUGGUACAGUACUCAUUGGCCUCAAAAAAAACUUCUCUUAGAUGAGAUAAAAAUUAUGAGAAGAAUAGAAGAAAGAUGUUUUAACAACGUAUCAUCAACAUAGAAAACAUAGUAUAAGAAAAAAGUAAGGUUCAAUACAGAAGAGAAGCAAAGCAAUUGCAUAGAUGUUUGAUAAAAGUAGGACAGGGUAAGAAGCACAAUUAUAAAAAGGAGAAUAAAGAGAUUAAAAAUUUGGAAAAGGUGGGUAGAAAGGAAUGGGUGCUGGGUUGGGCAGAAGCAGCACCAGUGGAGGUGGUCUGCUCGAGGCUCUUCCCACAGGAACGCCGCUUCAUGUAGCUAUGCUAGGUCUUGACAGUGCAGGAAAAACAACUGCCCUCUAUAGAUUAAAAUUUGAUCAAUAUUUGAAUACUGUACCGACCAUUGGUUUUAAUUGUGAAAGAAUUCGUGGUGGCAUUGGUAAAGCAAAAGGAGUAAAUUUUUUAGUUUGGGACGUAGGUGGACAGGAAAAGUUACGACCUCUGUGGAAGUCAUAUACCAGAUGCACAGACGGUAUUAUUUUUGUUGUUGAUUCUUGCGAUGCGGAAAGACUUGAAGAAGCAAAAAUGGAACUUACAAAAACAGUUAGGAGUCCUGAUAAUGCGGGUGUGCCCAUUUUAAUUCUUGCUAAUAAGCAAGAUUUAUUGGGUGCUAAAGAAGUGAGCGAAUUGGAAAAGCAACUUGGUGUCUCGGAACUGGCUGGGAUGCCUGGUAGUUCUAGCAUAAGGGUGCAGCCUGCUUGUGCUAUUACAGGGGAAGGUUUACACGAAGGUCUGGACACUCUUUAUCAAUUGAUAUUAAAACGACGUAAAUUGGCCAAACUAAACAGGAAGAGGGCUAGGUAGGCCAGGGCUUCGGAAGACUGCACUUGCGUCUUCUGAUAUUGCCCACGGAUGAUCUCUAUUUUGAUAAUGGAAAUGCCCACCGUGGGCCUCUCCGUAUUAUCUAUUUCAUUCUUGUCAACUUUCUCACCCAUAUUGUUGGCAGCUAAGAAGUGCUCAAUUAAAUAAAUAGAUGGCUAAAACAGCAAUAGCCCCGUCACAUCAAGUCUUGCAAUCAAUUUAAUGUUGAAGAGCUGAGACUAAUCAAACUUGAUUAAGCAAAACAUCCGCACUUGUUAGACUAAGUAAUACAAGAUUGAUAGCUUCAUCUAAAGAAAAUUCUUUACUCUAUAUAUGACUUGAAUUCAAUUCUGAUAAGAAGAGCAUACCAUCCAAGUAGUUGGUGGAAUUUCAUAUUGUGGAUUAUCACUUUUUAAUCCAAGAUUUAAUAGAAGAUAUAUAUAUAUAUAUAUAUUAUAUUAUAUUAUAUUAUAUAUUGUCUUCUAUUCGCGUUCAUGAUAAAGUGUGAAUGAUGGUUUUACAUCUUAGAACCUUACUAUAGUGCCACUUAGUCUGGAAGUGAUCAAAGUUGAAAAUGACAAAUCAUGAACUACUAAUUUUUUUAAAGAGGAAGAGUAGCAUUACUAGAUCAGGCUUUUAAUAAUUUUGGACUUAUCAUUGUGGUGAAAGACAGCACUGUUAACGGGACAAUAAAUAAGGUUGAAGUGUGUAUUCAUGUGAACAUCCCAAUUGGAGUUUUGGAUUCACAAUAAAUAUAUGGAGUAUUAGUACAUAUACUAUUAUUCCAAAAUCAGUUGUAACUGUGGCAUGUGUUCUACUAGGGAAAGAAUAGUGUUUCAUCUAUUCAUUCAAACAUCCUAUCUUUACUUAAGAGUGAUUGUCUAUAAGAAUCUUGGAUCUUAACUCUGAUUGGAAAAGUAUGAUUGUUCAAUGCGCCGUAUUAACCUCCAGAUUAUACAAUGACUUAGUAUGCAUCAUAAUGCAAAUAAAUAGUAUGCUAGCACUGAAAGAGGCAGUUACAAUUAGAGACUGUCUCAUUCUCAGGGCCUUUAUGAUAAUUCAGACCUCUCACAUGAUAAUAAGAAGAUAACAUCAAGAAGCCAGGAGCUCUCAAAUUACAUGAGUUUUAAAUGCAAUCAAUAAGCACUGUUUGCACUUGUCAUUGCUAUAAUACCAAUAAUGUUACUGACUGUUAAUAAUGAAAAUGGGAGAUUAAAAAAGAGCAAAUUCAUAAGUUUAUGUGAAUACAGCGCAGCUUAUUAUAUUUAGCCGGCAGGUAUUUCUGUUGGUUAGGUUUAAGUGUACCACUUUUUUGGCCUUCAUAGAUUGCAGUAUAGUUUAUAUAAUUGUCAUUUCAUUACCCAAGACAAGCUGUCAAUCAUUUGAUAUUAAAUACGGGAGUUAUCGAUGUAACUUCAGCUCCUGAAUUAACAUGAGUUAAUCUAGUGAGAUAUUUGUCUACUGUGAAAUUGUAUACAAAUGUUCCCAAUUUGUAAUAUACACUUUGGUGGAAAGCUUGUUUUCCCAUAUACUGGCAUUUGAAUCUGUAUAUUUGUGCUCAUUUUGUGCAUGUUUCGUGUUGAGUACAUACAUGAAAUCUCUUGUCAAUUUGUUUAAAUCUAUAAACGAUAUUAAUAUUCGCUAAAGUGCUUUGUUUUUAUAGUGUGAAAUGUAGGAUUACAAAUUUCCCACAAAGUGUGUGAUCAAAAGAGUGAAAGACUGAUCAUUUAAUUUGAGACAGUACAUCAACAAAGCAACAGAGAAUGGAUUAUUAAGAAAAUGACAAGGAGUCGAUGUAAAAGGUCAGUUUAGAAAUUGUUUAAGAUUCUUUUUAAUAGUCCAUAAUAGCUAAUAGGUCGAUUCGCUGAGAUCAGUCAAUGUUAUGGAAGGAAAAAUUUGAUGGGUAAUUUAAUGUAUGGUAGAGUACAAGUUAAAAAAUUGAAUAUAUUCUACGUACGUCUAUCUAAUCAGUGAGAAUUUUAUCCCAUAUCAAUAAUGUGGUGUGAACUGCGAUUUUCAAAUUAUACAUAAGUUUAAAUACAAAAAGUCAGCGCAUAAAAGAAACGUAAAACAAUACCUUUAUAAGACAAAAAUCUAUGUAUAAGUUGCAUAUUAUUUAUUUGAUGUUACUAUCGGCAGCUUCAUCAUAGAUUCAUUGAACCCUUGAUCAUUAAAACAAAAACGGAAAACAAUCUGCUAAUAUAUUACUCUUUAAAAAUAAAGUGCUCAGCCAUCGGCCUAAGAGAUAGAUGGAUGUGCUUCCUAAUGACAAAAAUCAUUAUUUAUUAUAGUAGAAAAAGCUUUAAUAUAAUCGCAUAAUUACUCUCGAGGUGACUUGCAUAAGUUUAGAAAUUUUGAAGAUAAUCGUAUUUCUGCGAUUUUUUGCACCUUUAUACCUUGAAUAAAAGAAUUUAAUUAUUCCCUUUGUAUGGGUGUUCUAAACUUAUUAUAGAUGGAAUUGUAAGUAGUAAAGAGAUCAAUUUUUUCUAACACAUGUAUAACACAUUAACUUGUAUUAAAAUACAUAUUUACAUAUAAUUAUAUUUAUCAUUCUUUAUUGUGAUAUUUUUAUCUCCAUAUGCCAAAUUAAAAGAGGUAUCGUCCUUUUUAAAAUUCACAUUGCUAACUUCUACACUUUUGAGAUAAUUUAUUGGUGCUAUUUUAAGUAACUUACAAUCAUCUCCAGUUGAAGAUUACAUCUAGAAAUUAUUUUGUAGAUCCAUUGAAAUAUCUCGUACACAAGUAGAUUUAGUCUUAUAUUCAAAAUCAUGUUUUAAUAAUAUUUGUAUGUUUUCAAUAUUCGCGAUCUAUUGUUUUUCAUUUCAUUUUUAAAUAUAACAAAUAUGUUUACAUGUGUAUUGAAGAAAACUUUGAUAAACAGAAAUGCUGUGAUAAUGUUAAAAUAUAUUGUGGGUGCAUAUCAUAUUGUUUAAAUAGAGCGAUUGUCAUUCUUGAUGAUUGCAGCACUCUUUAAUUUUUUUUUAUUGCAGCUAGUAGCCUAGUCUCAAAUUUUUGUCAUAUUGAAGGAAGCUUAUUUAUCAAAACACAAAGAUAAAAAAUCACAACGAUUCAUUUAAAGUGCUGUUGUACUAAUAUUAUAAUAUGCUUUAUAUAUAUAUAUAUAUAUAUAUAUAUAUAUAUAUGACUGAUGUGCGAAAUACAGUGAAACAGAAAACUACUCUAUGCAGAUUGCAAUGAUAAGACAAAAAAGUAAUCAUCGUACUUUGUUGUGUGUUACGUUUGAAAAUAAUUUAUUUUAUAUGAUUUUUAGAGUGACAGAAAUUUUGUUUUAAUACUGCACUGCCUACUUACGCUUUUAAUAAUAGCACUUAAGCAUUUUUUUUCAUAGUAUCAAUAUGAGACUUAGUGUUUUAUAAAGAAUUAUUUUCUAUCAUUUUGAAAACACUAUUUAAACUUUGUAUAGUCUUAGACAUCGUCAUUGAAGGUGAUUCUUGAUCAUUUUUCAAUUCCGAGUUCAUAAAGAUAGUUGGAGAUUAUCGAGUGAUAUGUGUUGUGUAAAAUGAUUUUAUAAAGGAAUGUAAACAUUCACACAACACUCUAUUUUCCAGCAUUGGACAAUAUUUUAUUUCAAUUCAAUAUAAUAUUUUUAUUUACACUGAUAUUAAAUUAUAUGAUACAAUCAAGUUGUCAGCUAAUUGUCAAUAGUUUGUUAAUUUUUAGUAUGUCUAGAAAAAUUACCAAUUACUCUGUAGAUAUGUGUAAAAUCAUUGACAAUCUAUUCUGUAGAAUUAUAUAUUUUCAUCUCAAUUUGUUUUGAUCAAUUAUUUGUAAUCUUUGAUCGGAAUAAAAUAUUGCCCAACAAAUACUGCUAUCUUUCAUACUUUUUAUCUCUCAUGUACUGUGUAGUGUGAACGUCGAUUUUGUGAUCGUGUAAAUUACAAUGAUGGGUAUAUUGAUUGUUGCACAUCUUUAUACAGUUGAUAUGAUAUUUAGAUAUUUGUUUAACUUUCAUGAAUAUUUUUCCUAUAGAUGCAGAUUGUUAGGAGAAUUUUUAGUAUCUAUUGUGAAAAUGAAUAAUUUAUUAUUGUCUUUAUUUUGAACAAUAUGUUAAGGUACAUGAAAUUUUUAAUAAAUUCAUUAAUUCUGUUAAAUUGUAAUCCGUACUUCUAAUUAAUUUUCCUUAUUAUUUUUGAAAACUUUUGAACGGAAUAAUCAGAAUAUCAUACUCCAAUCAUGUGCCAAUGAUAAAGAAAAGCGUUGCAUAAUAAACUUAUUGUUAGAUUUAAAUACAUUGUAUUACGUAUCUACGAAUGUUAUUUGUAUUCCUUUUCAAAGUGCACUUAAUUGAAUAAGAAUUUGUAUUCGUUUAUUAUGUGUUUCAAUGUAACAAAUUGUUUUUAAUUCAACUGUUAUCAAGAGAAGCGUAAAUCUUAAGUCGCUAAUAUUUGUAAAUAUAUGAUUUAACUU